rnacentral:rRNA from 1 species
UACGAAGGGUGCAAGCGUUACUCGGAAUUACUGGGCGUAAAGGGUGCGUAGGUGGUUUUUUAAGUCCGUUGUGAAAUCCCUGGGCUCAACCUGGGAAUGGCAGUGGAUACUGGAAAGCUAGAGUGCGGUAGAGGGUAGUGGAAUUCCCGGUGUAGCAGUGAAAUGCGUAGAGAUCGGGAGGAACACCAGUGGCGAAGGCGGCUACCUGGGCCAGCACUGACACUGAGGCACGAAAGCGUGGGGAGCAAACAGG